rnacentral:lncRNA from 1 species
ACAGGGUUUAACCAUCUUUCUCAGUGGUAAUUUGUGGGAAGAAAAUGGAUAGAAAAGGAAAGGUCAUAGGAUGCAUGUGUGGGCGUGGGUUUUGGGAGCAUUGAACUUGGAACCAUUUAAAGAUUUGAGAGCUGAGAAAGACUGAAGAGAGAGGAGAGAAGACAUUUGUGGGGCGACUGAGGAACACUCUUAGCUGUCUUAACCCCUACAGAUCGAAAUUCAUGUCAUGGAUAAUUAUGGGGCUGAAAUGAAUUUUCAAAGAGGAUGGAUCUUUUUGGUACUUUUGCUAAGUUCCAUUUUGCAUGACCCCUCAUUGGCCUUCCUCUGUCCCUCCUCGUUUUUUCUGUUCAUAAGGAUCCACCGAUUUGAUGCUACUGUAGAGAGAACCACUGUCGUGUGUUGAUAGACCAAUUUCAUCAACGAGAUUGUUUAAAUUUCUAUAUGUUAUCUAAUGCAUAUGUCGAAGUUAGAUCGAGUUUUCGUUUUUCGUCUAUCUUUUUGUUGUGCUUCGAAGUUAAGAAUUCAACAAGUGGGUUACACAACUUCCACUUCCACUUGUUUUUUUUAAUGAUAAUAAUCUCUUGAGACAAAAAC